CAGGACUACACCUACUACCGCUGCUAUAUGUUAUCAUUGCAGCACUGAUUUGUCUGAAAGUGCUGACUGUUGGAUUCUGUCACUACAAAAAUAAAAGGUUGUCUAGAAGGCUGAAGGGAGGGAGGGACGGUGACACAUACGCCAGUCUGCAGGUCGCCAACAUCAGCCCUGAAUAUGACGUGCUGCAGGUUAAAAACAAACACCAGAAAGACACUGUGACCGCACAAGAAGAGGCUGAUGACAAGCAGGACACUGGAGAUGGAAACUGAGACAGACGCAGUGGCUCAUUAAAACUAUCAGCUUGUUGUGUUUCCUUGAAAGCUGAUGUCUUCAAAAAUUUGGGCACCCUUGGUUUAAUUGUCUAAACUUGUUACAAUGAAUCGGUACAUGAUCAAAAGCAAACCUGAACUCUAAAUGGUACAGUUAAACAUUCUUCCAGCAAAUUGUAUUUUCAUUUUUUUAUUAUUUAAAAAUUCUAAAAAGGAAAAGGGGCCUAAAAAUGUGGCAUUUUGGCAUGCAGAAGAAUAUUUCUGAGCUAGUGGUGUUCUGCCCGGAAGAAUGGGGAAAAUUCUAAAACCAAGAAUUGAAAAAAUGAGUACCUCUCCAGGACACGCAUUCACAGCACCAAUUUACCUUUCCUUUGUCCAAGGGACACGCGCGCUCGCACGCGCACACACACACACCCUACUAACUUCCCCUACUAACUUCCCGUUAGUUUAUCUGUUCUGU